UCUGGGCUGGAGGCUGCAGAGGAAGGACCUGUCUGGGAAAUGCCUGUGGAGGGCCAGCUACUGGCCCUGACUGCACUGGGAAUCAGAGCCUGCCUGAACUCCGGUUACUGGAGGAGCCAUCAGAGGUGACCGGUCAAGCUGACCACAGAGAACCCGAUGUCUUAUGGAAGACCCCAACACAGACACUGGUAGGAAGUGGCCUAGGGAGGGUGACAGAGUGAUAUCUCCCACCUGGGAAACCUCAGCGUGUUUCAGUAGGACCCCUGUGCUGAGUCAGUGGUGACUUUGGAAUUCUGUCUUGGACUGUUCUCUUCUCAGGUGCCAUCUGAGCUCUGAGGAACUCAGGUCUCUUCUUCCGGUGUCUCAUAUGAGCUCCAGGAAUUUGAACUCUCCUUUUCUCCUGUCCCGUUUUAACUAAGCAGUGGUGCAGCACUUCCAGGCCCAAAGGGAGAUCACAGCCCCAAUGUGCUUGGCACUGUAUAAACACUGAGAGAGAGAGUUCCUGCCCCAAAGAGCUUACAAUUGAAAGAGACAAGGCAGAAAAAAGUUGUGAGACGGGAAGUGUCAGCACAGGUCUAUUCCUUCAGCACUUUCUCUGAUAACACCCUACUCAACAACCUGGCAAACAAUUCGUGUUUAAUCACAAACAUAUUAAAGAUUAAGGAAAAUGGAAAAAUCUCAGUCUCAGAAUACAUGUUGCUCUUUGUGUAUGCUAAACAAACCAAUACAUACCUACUGUAGGAGAUUUAUUGAUCAUGUCUGAACAGCAUGAAAACCUGGGAUACAUUAAUUGGGAAUGUAAUCUAACAACUAGAGGGGCUUUACUGAGCAAUGCCUGGCACUCCCUCCUCUUCUCACCCACCAUCUGUUUCCAUUCCCACAUUUCCUGAUAGGACCACCCUGAGGCCGUCUCUAUUGUUUCUAGAAAAUAAGAGAACCAGCAUUUUUGGUUCUGUGUUUGUACAGUGCCUAGCACAAGGGGCCCUGGUCAGGGUGCUAGAGUAAUGCAAAUAAUAAAUCAUCAAAAUUCCUGAUUUCCCCCAAAACAGAAUGCUUCAUCUAAGUGUAACCAUAAGGCAUACACAAAAGGGAGUGCUAUGAUCUUACAUUGAUAGCUAAAGUUUUCACAGUGGUUGAACUUUUUGGACACUCCCCCACUGCUUCCUGUACGCACUAGUAUGUAGAGACACCCUGAACCUCUGGUUUUCCCAACACAUGCAUGUGGCUCUUCAGUUUGUGGGGGUCUAGACACUCCCUGGCAGCUAGGGUUGUGCUUUGCUUGCUGUUCCAUACAGACCUCUUGAGUCUCUCUCAGCUCUGCAUUACAGGUGUGUACUAUCAGUGCACUUUAAAAGUUCUGAAACAUUUUAUUGCCUAAACAUAAGCUGGUCAAAGUACUAUGAAUAUGGGGCUACAGAAAAUAAGUUCCAGUUUGUUGUUUUAUUCUGUUAGGCCAGUCCUUGCACACUACGUACUGUAAAGGAGCAGAAAACCUUAAACCAUAUGGCUUGCAGUGAUUCGGCUAUUGAGUCAAGUUGUUCAGCAAUGUUAAACUAUCACUGAGACAUUUUAGUGUGAACCCUGCUUCAUACACACCCCUGAGUCUCUGUUUGCUCUGCUUACAGGUGUCUUUGUGCUAUCUGAAAUACAAACAGAUAUCCUGUGCCUUCAAAGACCAGACUCUGAGUUUGAAAUGUGCUGCAUACGAACUAUAUAAAUCCAGCAAAUUAUCACAGCCUUUCUGCUCAGAAGGAAGGUUGAGGUGAACAGGGACUUGGCCAAAGGGGUAUCAUGAGUCAGAGAUGAAAAAGAAAAAAGAACUGUACUUCAAAAAUAAUGUUUUGCUUACAUUGUUGAAUUAUGGUCAAGCAAAGAAAAAGGGGACAGGGUCUUUGCCGAUGCUUCACUGUGACAGGCUAUGGAAGCCUAUCCUGUCUAUGUAGGAACAUCUGGUAUUCUUGGCCUUAGCACUCCAGGUCUUAUACCAUAUCCUGCCCAGCACUGCUGAAGUAAACCAGGUGUAAGUGGUUUCCACAGGACAGCCAAAACCACAUCUUACUCUGAGAAAACGUGUCUUGAACAUAAAGGCUUCCUUCUCAAGGGCCAGAGCUCCCUUUUCCCAACUGGUAGUCAGCAGAAGUGUUUACAGAGGCUGGCGGCCCAAGGAGUUGAAUUCAGAAAUCAUGAAAGCUCCGUCCUUCGCAAAAUAAACCUUCAAAGGAGAUUCAGAACCAUCAGCAACAAAACCCUUUCUAUUCUCAUCUGCGGCAGCCCCCUCCAUUCCGGCUUCAUGUUUAUUUAACAAUUUAAAAAAUAAAUCCCUUGCUUUGAGCUCAGGGGAUUGAUAUUUUUAAGGUUGGGGGGGAUUUUCCAUGUACAUUUCC